rnacentral:rRNA from 1 species
GGGUGCUAUACUGCAGUCGAGCGAUCGAUGGGAGCUUGCUCCCUGAGAUUAGCGGCGGACGGGUGAGUAACACGUGGGCAACCUGCCUAUAAGACUGGGAUAACUUCGGGAAACCGGAGCUAAUACCGGAUACGUUCUUUUCUCGCAUGAGAGAAGAUGGAAAGACGGUUUACGCUGUCACUUAUAGAUGGGCCCGCGGCGCAUUAGCUAGUUGGUGAGGUAAUGGCUCACCAAGGCGACGAUGCGUAGCCGACCUGAGAGGGUGAUCGGCCACACUGGGACUGAGACACGGCCCAGACUCCUACGGGAGGCAGCAGUAGGGAAUCUUCCGCAAUGGACGAAAGUCUGACGGAGCAACGCCGCGUGAACGAAGAAGGCCUUCGGGUCGUAAAGUUCUGUUGUUAGGGAAGAACAAGUACCAGAGUAACUGCUGGUACCUUGACGGUACCUAACCAGAAAGCCACGGCUAACUACGUGCCAGCAGCCGCGGUAAUACGUAGGUGGCAAGCGUUGUCCGGAAUUAUUGGGCGUAAAGCGCGCGCAGGUGGUUCCUUAAGUCUGAUGUGAAAGCCCACGGCUCAACCGUGGAGGGUCAUUGGAAACUGGGGAACUUGAGUGCAGAAGAGGAAAGUGGAAUUCCAAGUGUAGCGGUGAAAUGCGUAGAGAUUUGGAGGAACACCAGUGGCGAAGGCGACUUUCUGGUCUGUAACUGACACUGAGGCGCGAAAGCGUGGGGAGCAAACAGGAUUAGAUACCCUGGUAGUCCACGCCGUAAACGAUGAGUGCUAAGUGUUAGAGGGUUUCCGCCCUUUAGUGCUGCAGCUAACGCAUUAAGCACUCCGCCUGGGGAGUACGGCCGCAAGGCUGAAACUCAAGGAUUUGACGGGGGCCCGCACAAGCGGUGGGAGCAUGUGGUUUAUUUCGAAGCAACGCGAGGACCUUACCAGGUCUUGACAUCUUCUGACAACCCUAAAGAUAGGGCUUUCCCCUUCGGGGACAGAGUGACAGUGUGGCAUGGUUGUCGUCAGCUCGUGUCGGAGAUGUUGGGUUAAUUCCCGCAACGACGCACCUUGAUCUAUUGCCAGCAUCCAGUUGGCACUCUUAGUGAAUUGCUGUAACAACUCGGAAGAAAGG